rnacentral:lncRNA from 1 species
AAAGAGAAGAACAACAUGAGGUCUGAAAGAAAGGCUGGAAGAUCAACUCCUAUUUGCAUUGACCAGAGACUUGGAGGAGGAAACCUGUAUUGUAUUUGUUUUGUUUUGUUUUUUAAGUGAACCACAGAGAUAUUUAUAUGUAAAACGAGAAUCAUUAGAAGAAUGUGGCUUGUUAAAAACAACAGUAACCAAAACCAACCUAACCAAACAAACAAACAAAAAGCAGAAUGGAAAACAGUGAAAACUAGAAGCCACGAAGACACUAUGGCUGCCAUGCCAGGCAUUUCUGCUUCACUACAGAUCUUUAAUUCGGUGUUGAGGUACAUAUUAACAGGCAAGUCUUCAGAUAUAUGAGGACAUGUAAAGGAGUUAAAUAAACCAAAGACCCUACACAAAAGGAAAAGAGAAAUGUAAUUUAGUUUAAAAGGCAGUGUCUUGUUCUUAGGCAGUGAUUACUACCACCUCCAUUGUAGAGUACAACAAAAAUCCACAACUAAGAGAAUGGGUAAACUGAGUUCAUGUAAAUGAGACUUUCAUGUUUUAUUUUUCCUGUUUUGCAUUCCUUGAAAUAUAAAUAUUUCAUCUAAAUGCCAACGGACCUGUUCAAAAUUCCUACAAGGGGAUGGGAAGAUAGCUCCAUCGAUUAAGAACACUUGCUCUGAAAGCAGAGACACUCAGUUCAAAACCCCAGCAUCCACAAAAACCAUCAAGAACAGUUGUACAUGCCUGUAACCCCAACAUUGAGGGUUGAAACAGGUGAAUUUCCAGCGUUCACUAGCCAUCUUCAGGUUCAAUGAAGUCAUCAUAUCUCAAGGCCAUAAGGCAGAUAACCAUUAAAGAAGACAUCCAAAGUCUUGUUCUGGGCUUCCACGUGUACAAAUCUGUACACACCUGGACAGACUUUGUGCAGAUUGCCACAGCUUCUGUGAUUUACCACUACAAGGACAUGGCAACCCAGAAGACAUUUCAUAGAACAUCUCCUCAACCUUGUCUGUAUUUAUUUUUCUUUUUUACAGAAACCAAACUGUUCUUUCUAUGAUUUAGAACAUCAUUUCAAUGGUUUUUUUUCCCCAGAAAUUUCCAAUUAUUCUAGGUUUAAAUAAUCCUUCCUUAAUUUAAAGUACUUUGUGGAAUGAAUACAGAAAGAGCCUCAGUCCAGUAACUGUAUUUGCAUGGAUGUACUUCAUAUACUCUUGUUAUGUCAGGCUUCUUUCUUACGAGUUUUGUGCCUUUAUAUGAGGUGGCAGCAUUCAUAUUGUAAAUAUGGACCUUAAUGUUGCUUUAUCAUCACUACAAAAAUAACAUCCUAUCUCAAGAUAAUAGGAGUUGUGUUUUCAGUAUUGCUACUGCUGAAAAGUCCUGGUAAUUCUAAUUUUUUUUUGCACUGCAAAGUAACCAGAAAGAAAAACUUCAUGGGACAGAUCUUUAAGGUCUUUCUUGGUGUUUUAUGAAGGAUUAUUAGGAGAAAAUAACUUCUUUGCUGAAAUGUCUCCAUAUAUAUGGUGUGUGUGUGUGUAUGUAUUUCUGUGUAUCUUCAUCAUAAUUAUAGUAUUUCAUAUAUCACUUCAGUAUUAAUAUGCAAAUUGUGGUUUUGAUUUAGGAAAUUUGGAAUGUUACAUAAUAUUAAUGGUCACUUGACAAUGAUAUGAUUUGGUCA